GUUCACUUCAAGUUCCUAACUCCUGGCUUACUACAAUUUGGCUAACAUUCUUGCCAUAUAACUCAAAGAGAAAAAUUCAUCACCGCAAUAUGCGCAACACACACCAAGAGAAAAAAAAAUUGAAGAAAACUCUGGGAAAAAGAAGUGGCUGGUGGCAGUGGCAGGAAAAUUGUCAUAAAGGUGCAACUGACAACAGCAGAAGAGGCGAUGGCGAGGUUAGUAAAUUUCAAUUUAUAUGCAGAGAGAACAGUGAGUGAAAAGGCAGACGCAGGACACAGGACAUGGGGCACUACAGGACGAGAAUGAGGAUGAGGACACACACAGGACGCAGAGUCAAGGAGCCAGCGCGCAAAAAGUGUCAACCGACGCAAGUGGAAAACGCAAUUUCAUUAGACAAAUUGAAAAAAAUAAGUGCAAGCGUACACAACAACAAGAUCUAAGGACCAUGCGAGAGGAGCCUCUUUAUCCUUUAUGUAUAUAUGUACUAUAUAUCGUUCUAUGUAUAAACACUAUGUACCAAGAAGACUG